rnacentral:lncRNA from 1 species
CUCCACCCAAUCAGGCCUUAGAUCUUGCGGGGAGGUUUGGUCCUGCUGGAUGACGGCCAAGGUGNGGGCAGGUUUCUCUGAUUGCCCCAGGUGGUGGCAGGGCAAGAUGGAGGUGGCCAUGAAAGUCCUNGAAGAGGAGGUGAAAGAGAUUCUGUCAGACAAUGAAAUACCCUUGUUCAUUCCUUCAAGAGCAUUUUCUGUUCGUAAUGGAGCUUCCACACAGGUGAGAGCCAUGAAAAGGAAAAUCAACGGGCAUUUCUGCACAGCUGGUAUACCAGACCAGCAAGCAUACUAGGACCCUCCCUUCUGCAUGCCAGUGCUGUCUAAGGGAGGCCGUGCCCCCAGGGGGUGGUCAC